UACGUAGGGGGCAAGCGUUAUCCGGAAUUACUGGGUGUAAAGGGAGCGUAGACGGUUGUGCAAGUCUGGAGUGAAAGGCGGGGGCCCAACCCCCGGACUGCUCUGGAAACUGUAUGACUGGAGUGCAGGAGAGGCAGGCGGAAUUCCUGGUGUAGCGGUGAAAUGCGUAGAUAUCAGGAGGAACACCGGUGGCGAAGGCGGCCUGCUGGACUGUAACUGACGUUGAGGCUCGAAAGCGUG
rnacentral:rRNA from 1 species